GAGACACCCUUAUGGUGCAGGACUUGCUUCAGUGGGGCUUUGUUGCUCGCUGAGUCUGCCCCGCUGAGUGUGUCUCU
rnacentral:pre_miRNA from 1 species